CCCUUAGACGUUCUGGGCCGCACGCGCGCUACACUGACGGAGCCAGCGAGUAUAAACCUUGGCCGAGAGGUCUGGGAAAUCUUGUGAAACUCCGUCGUGCUGGGGAUAGAGCAUUGUAAUUAUUGCUCUUCAACGAGGAAUUCCUAGUAAGCGCAAGUCAUCAGCUUGCGUUGAUUACGUCCCUGCCCUUUGUACACACCGCCCGUCGCUACUACCGAUUGAAUGGCUUAGUGAGGCUUUCGGAUUGGUUUAGAGAAGGGGGCAACUCCAUCUUGGAACCGAGAAGCUAGUCAAACUUGGUCAUUUAGAGGAAGUAAAAGUCGUAACA
rnacentral:rRNA from 1 species